AAUUCGCGUUCGUCAAAUUGAUUGGCGGUCACGUCGAGCUUCCAUAGCGUAGUAGUAAAACCUUCGUUACUGGUMAUGGUSGCGGCCACGCCGUUAAACCCCAACUUCUGAAUGUUGACCUCGGAUCAGGUAGGAAUACCCGCUGAACUUAAGCAUAUCAAUAAGCGGAGGAAAAGAAACCAACAGGGAUUGCCCUAGUAACGGCGAGUGAAGCGGCAACAGCUCAAAUUUGAAAUCUGGCUCUCGGGCCCGAGUUGUAAUUUGUAGAGGAUACUUUUGAUGCGGUGCCUUCCGAGUUCCCUGGAACGGGACGCCAUAGAGGGUGAGAGCCCCGUCUGGUUGGAUGCCAAAUCUCUGUAAAGUUCCUUCAACGAGUCGAGUAGUUUGGGAAUGCUGCUCUAAAUGGGAGGUAUAUGUCUUCUAAAGCUAAAUACCGGCCAGAGACCGAUAGCGCACAAGUAGAGUGAUCGAAAGAUGAAAAGCACUUUGAAAAGAGAGUUAAAAAGUACGUGAAAUUGUUGAAAGGGAAGCGUUUAUGACCAGACUUGGGCUUGGUUAAUCAUCUGGGGUUCUCCCCAGUGCACUUUUCCAGUCCAGGCCAGCAUCAGUUUUCCCCGGGGGAUAAAGGCGGCGGGAAUGUGGCUCUCUUCGGGGAGUGUUAUAGCCCGUCGUGUAAUACCCUGGGGGGGACUGAGGUUCGCGCAUCUGC
rnacentral:rRNA from 1 species